rnacentral:rRNA from 1 species
CCUACGGGAGGCAGCAGUGAGGAAUAUUGGUCAAUGGAGGCAACUCUGAACCAGCCAAGUAGCGUGCAGGAUGACGGCCCUAUGGGUUGUAAACUGCUUUUAUGCGGGGAUAAACUGAGUCACGUGUGGCUUAUUGCAGGUACCACAUGAAUAAGGACCGGCUAAUUCCGUGCCAGCAGCCGCGGUAAUACGGAAGGUCCGGGCGUUAUCCGGAUUUAUUGGGUUUAAAGGGAGCGUAGGCCGCCGCUUAAGCGUGUUGUGAAAUUCCGCGGCUCAACCGUGGCACUGCAGCGGAAACUGGGGGGCUGGAGUGCACUGGAGGUAGGCGGAAUUCGUGGUGUAGCGGUGAAAUGCUUAGAUAUCACGAAGAACUCCGAUUGCGAAGGCAGUCUACCGUAGUGUUACUGACGCUGAGGCUCGAAGGUGUGGGUAUCGAACAGGAUUAGAUACCCCUGUAGUC